UUGAUUGAUAUAGAUCGCGAAUAGUGUCCGGACAAGGCCGAUGUUUUCACUGUCAUUGGCAUUGGCGGGUUAAGUGCCAUGACAAUGAAUUCGAGUGCAGCGAGAGUGAUGCAAUGCACUCAGUGCAAGAUCCGCUCUUAAACAGAUGGUUAAAGUGAGGAAGUUUCUUUCCGUGCACUGAAGAUCGCCCAAUGAAUGGAGCCACAAUCAAGCGUUCAACUCGGGCGACCAGCGCCAAUCAACGGCCAUCGGAGGGGGGCCAGAACAAGAACCGCAUUGAGCGGGGCGUAACGUGAUUUUACUGCAAUCCGAUCUGGUUUGGCACACACAUCCCCGUCCCCAGCCUCCCCUUCUCCACCAGCACCAAUUCUUAUCGACACUGUUUGUAUAAUUUUUGAAAACAAUUUGUGUGAAAUAUGUGUGUGCAAAAUAAACAAAAAUUGAAAUAUUA